AGAGAGAUGGUUGAGUGGAUUAAAGCGUUGGAUUGCCAAUCAGUUGUAUGAGUUAUUUGUAUCGUGGGUUCAAAUCUCUCUCUUUUCA
rnacentral:tRNA from 1 species